GGCAUUUGUCAUCUUUUGCAGACAUUUCCUAAGUUUCAGGGCAUGGCUGAAAUACCAAACAGCAACCCAAAAGCACCUCUCAGAAACUCAAGGGCUGGAUCAACGGAAGUCUUAUCAAGUCCAACAAGGCUAAGUGCCAAGUUGUGCAGCUACGGCAGAAUAACCUGAGGCAUCGAUGCAGGCUGGGAACAAACUGUUGCAAAGACCCGGGGGUUGCAGUGGAUGCCAAGUAAAACAUGAGGCAGCAGCGUGCUCUCAAGGACUAACUACAGUGCCUGUGAGGAGGACACGCUUAUUACAGAUCCAAGUACCCUUUUGUUCAACAAAAUGUAGCAGUUUGGAGCUCCAGAAGAAAAAUCCUC